UGUGUGUGUGUGUGUGUGUCUCGCCCUGUCCCAUCGUGCCUUGGUUCAUCUGAGUGGCGUCUGCCAUUACUGCUGUGUCUGAGGGUUUCAGGAUACGUCCCAAAUGGCACCUUAUUCCCUACACAGUGCACUACUUUUAACCAGAGCCCUGUGGAACUUGGUUAAAAGUAAUGCACUAUGUAAGGCAUAGGAUGCCAUUUGGGACACGAGCUUAAACUGACAUUGUGUCAACAUGAUUUAUCCCUAUAUUUAGACUGUAUGAAUCACAGCAACCUCCAAGCAUGAUCUCUUUCAUUCAACCUUGUUGGUUUUGAAUUUAACAGCAGGUUAUGCAAUUUAAUGAGAUAAGGAGGGAGAAGGGAGAGCGAGAGGGAGUGAGGGGAGAGAGAGAGGAUUGAGAUUGAGAGGGAUAGAUGGGGUAGAGACAGAGGGAGUGAGGGGGGACAAUGAGAGCGAUAUAGAGGGGAGAGAGGAAGAGAGAGGGACACAGACAGAGAGAGUGGCUGGGAGACAGAUAAGGGAGAGAGAGAUUUAGCUACACAAAUCAAUUGUGUUUUGACGUGAUGACAUUGGAAGAGUGGGUUCUCAUGAAUGAAAAUUAAUGAGGGAGGGCCGUGAUUAUUUUUUAUUACCAUAAUCCCCCCCUCUGCCUCUCCGUCCCCCUCUCUUUCUUCCUUUCUCCCUCUUUCUCUCACUCUCUCUCUCUGCCUCUCCCCCCUCUCUCCCUCUCCCCCUUCUUCUUCUCUCCCUCUCUCCCCUUCUUCUUCUCUCCCUCUUUCCCCUUCUUCUCUCCCUCUCCCCUUCUUCUCUCCCUCUCUCCCCUUCUUCUUCUCUCCCUCUUUCCCCUUCUUCUUCUCUCCCUCUUUCCCCUUCUUCUCUCCCUCUCCCCUUCUUCUUCUCUCCCUCUCUCCCCUUCUUCUUCUCUCCCUCUUUCCCCUUCUUCUUCUCUCCCUCUUUCCCCUUCUUCUCUCCCUCUCCCCUUCUUAUUCUCUCCCUCCCGCCAUUUCUCACUGCAGAUCCUCUCACUCAAUAUUAUUGAGAGAGGGAGAGAAGAAGAAGGGGAGAGGGAGAGAAGAAGAGGGAGAGAAGAAGAUGGGGAGAGAGGGAGAGACGAAGAGGUGGAGAGAGUUACAUUCAGAGAAGGGGAACCUGUCCCAGCAUGGUUAAACACAGCAGGGAGAUUGAUCAUAUGGCUCUCCCUCCUCUCUCUCUCACUCUCCUCUCUCACUAUCCCUCAUCACUCACUCACCCUCUCUCACUCACCCUCCAUUCUCACUCUCCCUCAUCUCUCCUUCCUCUUUCACUCACCCUCUCUCACUCACUCUCCCUCCUCUCUCACUCACUCUCCCUCCUCUCUCACUAUCCCUCCUCUCUCACUAUCCCUCAUCUCUCACUCACUCACCCUCUCUCACUCACCCUCUCUCACUCACCCUCCAUUCUCACUCUCCCCCCUCUCUCACUCUCCUUCCUCUCUCUCUCACUCACCCUCUCUCACUCACUCUCCCUCCGCUCUCUCUCCCUCCUCUCUCACUCUCACUAUCCCGCCUCACUCACCUCCACUUCCUCCUCUCUCACUCUCUCUAUCCUCUCUCAUUCCCUCUCUCCCCGGAAUCAAUAACUCAGUUAUAGAAAUGGAAUGCAGAAGGGGUAAUUGUGCAGGUUGAUGUUUAUUGUCAUGAAUAUUGCCCUGCAGGCAGGACUGAGCGAUUUCCGGUAGAAGGGCCAUCGUAAAAAUUAUAGAAAAUAAAAAGCUUUUUAAUCUUAAUUUAAGGUUAGGGUUAGCCAUUAGGGUUAGCAGUGUGGUUAAGGUUAGAGUUAGGGUUAAGGUUAUGGUUUGUGGCUGUGCCAGACACUGACCACUCUGCAGAGCUUCCUCCAGAGAAAGAUUCAGUGAUAAUAAUUGUCACGCUGCGGUAAUUGUGGUGUUUAUUAAAAGUGGUGCAGGUCUGGUCUCCCACACACACACACACACACACACACACACACACACACACCUAUAUGUUCCCUGUGGGAUCUCUGAGACAACACUGUGCACUCCUCUGCACAGGAAGGAAGGAAGGAAGGAAGGAAGGAAGGAAGGAAGGAAGGAAGGAAGGAAGGAAGGAAGGAAGGAAGGAAGGAAGGAAGGAAGGAAGGAAGAGAGAGAGGAGGGAACCAUCCAAGAUGUAGGAUCUUCAUUUGAGCCAGUUUGCUACAGCAUGAAAAUAAUCCUGCAGCAUCAAGAAAGUGUGUUGGUUUAACCUUGUGCUCUGUGUGUGAGCCCAGCAUUUAAUUGGCACCGUCGGAGGUGUGUGUGUGUGUGAGCCCAGCAGAUAAUGGCAUGUUAGUGGGGCCUCUUACUUCACAUCUGCUGUUGGCCAAAUGCACUCUGAGGGACAGACAGAUGGACAGAGGGGCAGGUGGACGGACAGCUCCAUUCAGGUCUACAGGUAAGUAUGUAUGUUUUAUUUGUUUAUCUGUGUGUGUGUGUGUGAUUGCAGGUCUGCUGCUAAUGAAGAGAUUCGUCCAGAGUGUAGUCACACACAGCCUUUCAAUCAGUAGUGUCUUCUUCAGUCUUUCUAGAGAGAGAGAGAGAGAGAGAGAGAGAGAGAGAGAGAGAGAGAGAGAGAGAGAGAGAGAGAGAGAGAGAGAGAGAGACACGGACCACAACACAACAAUGGAACACACAACACAGGACCCACCAACCCAACCCCCUCCUAACAGCCCACCUGUCAGCGCCACUGAGGACACACAAAAGCCAGAAAUUGUGCUCCUCAUUGACUCAAAUGGCAAAUGCAUUCAAGAGGAUAAACUUUUUCCCAACCACAAAGUGGCUAAGCUCUGAUGCCCAAACACUAGGCAUGCCCUGGAGCUGCUGUCAGAGGACAGACUAGGGUCCACCAGCCACAUUAUGAAUCACACGGGCACAAAUGACCUGAGGGCCCAGCAGGAAAGGGUGGCCACAGCACAAUCAGGGAGUGAUUGAAAAAGCUGCUUCCACUUUCCCCAAAGCACAAGUAGUUAUCUCCACCGUGCAAACACGAAAAAACUUUCCCCCUGCCACCAUAUAGAGGGUGAAUGCAAACAUUUUGCGAGACUGUGCCUCAAAACCUAAUGUCUACCUGGCCCACCACUCCACCCUGGACUUGAACAGCCUUUAUAACCAGGUCCACCUCUACAAGGCAGCAAUCCCAACUUUUGCCAGGACCCUGAAGGACGUCACCCUCAACUGAAGCCCCAGCACCUCACACAGGAGCAACAGAACAACGGGCCCCCCGCCCACACCAGCGAGACACCCUCCAAGACCUGCAAGACCCCUUCCUGAAGGACCUGCACAGAGAGAACCCAUGCCAAGAGGACCUACACCCAGACCACAGCAUCACCAGCCACACACCAACCAGCCAAGACCACCCCAAGCAAACCCUGGCCACACUCAAUAUAGGCCAUCCCAUAUCAGACCUAUGCCCCUUCUGCCCACCCCAUGACCCCUGCGGCAAGGACCUCAACAUGACAGUAGGACAUAUGCCCAGGCUGUGAGCAGAGCAACAGGCCCAACCUCCACUACUACACACGCCCAAGCCCCAUCCUGCGACCUAAGAGGUACACUACCGUUCAAAAGUUUGCUGUCCCUUAGAAAUGUCCUUGUUUUUUUUUUAAGAAAAGACAAUUUUUUGUCCAUUAAAAUAACAUAAAAUUUAUCAGAAAUACAGUGUAGACAUUGUUAAUGUUGUAAAGGAUUAUUGUAGCUGGAAACAGCUGAUUUUUUUAUGGAAUAUCUACAUAGGCGUACAGAGGCCCAUUAUCAGCAACCAUCACUCCUGUGUUCCAAUGGCACGUUGUGUUAGCUAAUCCAAGUUUAUAAUAUUAAAAGGCUAAUUGAUCAUUAGAAAACCCUUUUGCAAUUAUGUUAGCACAGCUGAAACUGUUGUCCUGAUUAAAGAAGCAAUAAAACUGGCUUUCGUUAGACUAGUUGAGUGUCUGGAGCAUCAACAUUUGUGGGUUCAAUUACAGGCUCAAAAUGGCCAGAAACAAAGAACUUUCUUCUGAAACUCAUCAGUCUAUUCUUGUUCUGAGAAAUGAAGGCUAUUCCAUGCGAGAAAUUGUCAAGAAACAGACGAUCUCGUACAACGCUGUGUACUACUCCCUUCACAGAACAGCGCAAACUGGUUCUAACCUGUCGGACUCUGGGUAUGUACAUAGUCAAUGGUAGGCUUCGAGGGGACUCCCAUGGUAGGUACACAUAUAGCUCAUCUCUAGGCAGUAGUACUGUAGACUACUUUAUCACUGACCUCAACCCAGAGUCUCUUAGUGUUCACAGUCAGUCCACUGACACCCCUAUCAGAUCACAGCAAAAUCACAUUCUACUUGAACAGAGCUUUGCUCAAUCAUGAGGCAUCAAAGCCAAAGGAACUGAAUAAUAUUAAGAAAUUCUAUAGAUGGAAGGAAAGUAGUGUUGAAAUCUACCAAAAACUAUUAGGCAACAACAAAUUCAAUCCCUUCUAGAUAAUUUCCUGGACAAAAGGUUUCACUGUAAUAGUGAAGGUGUAAACUUGGCAGUCGAAAACCUAAACAGUAUAUUUUACCUCUCAGCUUCCCUAUCAAAUCUAAAAAUGUCAAGCAGAUAACCUAAGAAAAUCAACAACAAUGACAACUGGUUUGAUGAAGAAUGCAAAAACCUAAGAAAGAAAUUUAAAAACCUAUCCAACCAAAAACAUAGAGACCCAGAAAACCUGAGCCUACGUCUUCACUAUGGUGAAUCACUAAAACAAUACAGAAAUACACUACGGAAAAACAAGGGACAGCAUGUCAGAAAUCAGCUCAAUGUAAUUGAAGAAUCCAUAGAAUCUAACCUCUUCUGGGAAAAUUGGAAAACAAUCAUCAUGAAGAGUAAUCUAUCCAAAACGGAGAUGUAUGGAUAAACCACUUCUCCAAUCUUUUUGGCUCUAUAACAGAGGACAAAAGGCAAAAACAUAUACAUGAUCAAAUACAAAUCUUAGAAUUAACUAUUAAAGACUACCAGAACCAACUGGAUUCUCCAAUUACAUUGAAUGAACUAAAGGACAAAAUACAAACCCUCCAACCCAAGAAGGCCUGUGGGGUUGAUGGUAUCCUCAAUGAAAUGAUAAAAUAUACAGAACACAAAUUCCAAUUGGCUGUACUUAAACUAUUUAGCAUCAUCCUCAGCUCUGGCAUAUUCCCCAAUAUUUGGAACCAUGGACCACCCCAAUCCCAAAAAGUUGAGACAAAUUUCACCCCAAUAACUACUGUGGGAUAUGCGUCAACAGCAACCUUGGGAAAAUCCGCUGCAUUAUCAUUAACAGCAGACGUGUACAUUUCCUCAGCAAAAACAAUGUACUGUGCACCCAGCCUCACCAUACUAGAAUUUGAAGUCAAAUGUCUACUGUUUGCUGAUGAUCUGAUGCUGCUGUCCCCAACCAAGGAGGGCCUACAGCAGCACCUAGAUCUUCUGCACAGAUUCUGUCAGACAUGGGCCCUGACAGUAAAUCUCAGUAAGAAAAAGGUGUUCCAAAAAAGGUCCACAAAUACAAAUUCCAUCUAGACACCGUUGCCCUAGAGCACACAAAAAACUAUACAUACCUAGGCCUAAACAUCAGCGCCACAGGUAACUUCCACAAAGCUGUGAACGAUCUGAGAGACAAGGGAGGAAGAGCCUUCUAUGCCAUCAAAAGGAACAUCUAAUUCGACAUACCAAUUAGGAUCUGGCUAAAAAUACUUGAAUCAGUUACAGAACCCAUUGCCCUUUAUGGUUGUGACGUCUGGGGUCCGCCCAACCAAGAAUUCACAAAAUGGGACAAACACCAAAUUGAGACUCUGCAUGCAGAAUUCUGCAAAAAUAUCCUCUGUUUAUAACAUAGAACACCAAAUAAUGCAUGCAGAGCAGAAUUAGGUCGAUACCAGAAAAGAAAUCCAGAAAAGAGACGUUAAAUUCUACAACCACCUAAAAGGAAGAAAUUAGGCUAGGGUCAGGGCGGGCAGAAAAGGUCAAAACCGGGAAACUAGAAAACAGGGACUAUAGCAAAGACAGGACCAAGGGAAACCGCUGGUAGGUUUGAACGAACAAAACGAACUAGCACAGACAGACAGAAAACACAGGUAUAAAUACCCAGGGGCUAAUGGGGAAGAUGGGCGACACCUGGAGGGGGGUGGAGACAAGCACAAGG
rnacentral:lncRNA from 1 species